UGGCUCAGUGGUAGAGCACUUGCCUUGCAUGCAUGAGGCCCUGGGUUUGAUUCUUUG
rnacentral:tRNA from 1 species